rnacentral:rRNA from 1 species
UACGAAGGGGGCUAGCGUUGCUCGGAAUCACUGGGCGUAAAGGGCGCGUAGGCGGCGUUUAAGUCGGGGUGAAAUCCUGGAGCUCAACUCCAGAACUGCCUUCGAUACUGGAAGACUCGAGUCCGGGAGAGGUGGAGUGGAACUGCGAGUGUAGAGGUGAAAUUCGUAGAUAUUCGCAAGAACACCAGUGGCGAAGGCGGCU